rnacentral:rRNA from 1 species
AUUGAACGCUGGCGGCAGGCCUAACACAUGCAAGUUGAACGGUAGCACAGAGAGCUUGCUCUCGGGUGACGAGUGGCGGACGGGUGAGUAACGUCUGGGAAACUGCCCGAUGGAGGGGGAUAACUACUGAAAACGGUAGCUAAUACCGCAUAACGUCGCAAGACCAAAGUGGGGGACCUUCGGGCCUCACACCAUCGGAUGUGCCCAGAUGGGAUUAGCUAGUAGGUGGGGUAAUGGCUCACCUAGGCGACGAUCCCUAGCUGGUCUGAGAGGAUGACCAGCCACACUGGAACUGAGACACGGUCCAGACUCCUACGGGAGGCAGCAGUGGGGAAUAUUGCACAAUGGGCGCAAGCCUGAUGCAGCCAUGCCGCGUGUAUGAAGAAGGCCUUCGGGUUGUAAAGUACUUUCAGCGGGGAGGAAGGCGGUGAAGUUAAUAGCUUCACCGAUUGACGUUACCCGCAGAAGAAGCACCGGCUAACUCCGUGCCAGCAGCCGCAGUAA